UACAGGGGGUGCAAACGUUGCUCGGAAUUAUUGGGCGUAAAGCGCACGUAGGCGGUUUGUUAUGUCGGAUGUGAAAGCCCUUGGCUCAACUGAGGAAGUGCAUCCGAAACUGGCAAGCUAGAGUAUGUAAGAGGGUCGCGGAAUUCCCGGUGUAGAGGUGAAAUGCGUAGAUAUCUGGAGGAACACCGGUGGCGAAGGCGGCAUCCUGGACCGGCAUUGACGCUGAGGCGCGAAAGCCAGGGGAGCAAACGGG
rnacentral:rRNA from 1 species